AACAAGGUUUCCGUAGGUGAACCUGCGGAAGGAUCAUUAUUGAAUAAACUUGAUAAGUUGUCGCUGGCUUCUAGGAGCAUGUGCACGCUUGUCAUCUUUAUCCAUCCACCUGUGCACCUUUUGUAGUCUUGGAGUAAUGAGCGUAUAACCUAUCGAGGAACAACUUUGGUCCUCGGACAGAGGUCUGCUAUGCGAUAAGUAUGGCUUACCUUAAUACUUGCGCAAGUUCUCCGAGUCUAUGUUUUUCAUAUACCAUGUAAAAUGUAUCAGAAUGCUUUUAUUGGGCCCUAGUGCCUAUAAAAUGAAAUACAACUUUCAGCAACGGAUCUCUUGGCUCUCGCAUCGAUGAAGAACGCAGCGAAAUGCGAUAAGUAAUGUGAAUUGCAGAAUUCAGUGAAUCAUCGAAUCUUUGAACGCACCUUGCGCUCCUUGGUAUUCCGAGGAGCAUGCCUGUUUGAGUGUCAUUUAAUUCUCAACCCCACCAGCUUUUCUUGGCUGGCUUUGGUGGCUUGGAUGUGGGGGAUGUAUUUGCGGGCCUCUUUAGAGGUCGGCUCCCCUGAAAUGCAUUAGUGGAACCGUUUGCGGGACCGUUCACUGGUGUGA
rnacentral:rRNA from 1 species